UCGAGGGUUGGCGGCACGGCUGCUUCGUUGUCAUCUUCGACGAGCACCGUCCGACACGAUUUUCCGCUGGCAUGUACCAUGGAAUGUCACUGCUUUUAUCAUGGCAUCCAACACUUGCAGAUGUGACUCAAAAGGGGAUUCUGAAGGUAAUGAACUUGGAUGGCCUGAUAGUGUACCAUACCAACAACCAUCUCCAAGGACACAAACUUGAAAAGUUUCUAAGAUUCAUACACACCUUCAGAAUCAGGUACCUGCUUUGUUCUCUAGAAUUCCUAUGGAUUUUAAGAGGAUGAGCCACCCCGUUUGAUUAUGGUUCUUUCCUACACUCACAGCUAAAACUUGACAAUUUGAACCCUUGAUUGAUGCAAGAGAUUGAAGAUACAACUCAUGGAAUCUGAAAAAUUAGAAAAAAAAAAAGGUCAAAAGUCAUUUUUAUUUGAAAAGUGGACGUCGACUUAUUUAUUUGACUGGCUCCGGACGUCCAAGUUAUCUGCUUUAUUCUACUAUGGACUUUUAUUGCCGCAUUAUCAUUUUUUAUUUGCGAGAUGCUGCAUUAUCGUUUAUGUUCUUGCAUAUUCUGUUGGCCCUUAAUACUGCCACUGACGACCAAGUGCUGCAUAUUUAUUUCUCUUUAUAGGAAAAUAUAACUCAUACAGCUAUGAUGAACAUUUCUUUUCAGUAUUUACAUUGGCAUUAUUUUGUCACUGGACAAUUUUAUUGUCACAUAUAAUGAUGUUUAUGAAUUUGUUCAUGUAUUUUCGAGAUUUAGAUGAGUAUAUAUACUGCCAACCCUUGGUUGUCCUUUCAGACUAGGCCUACCAGGCUACCACGAGGUCACCUCAGUUGAUUUCAGACUAGGCGAGCUCCUGGAUAGCUUUGCAAUUCGAUGCUCGGUAAUGCCUUGUGUACUAUACUUUUACCCUGAUGGUUGUACGACUCAAUGCGGCUAGCAGAUUCACUUGAUUCUUUACUUGAUCUUUCAUCUAUUGGGAUAACCAUGGCCUAUGGGCAUGGAUGCUUGUGUUGCUGGUAUUGUAGAAAUAUCAGACGACAUAAUGUCGCAUGUAUAUCACUGCUCUUUGUAUGGAUGCGGUGGCAUGUGAGAGGACAAGCAGGUAUUGGGCCAUUUACGAAUUGCCAGAACAUUGAGGGUGUGUAACAUGAAAUUGUUUCUACAUGAGCUUGUGCUAAAGGUCUGGUCCUAUUGCAUUCGUAGUUGGAGUUUAAUGACUGCAGCCUAAUUUAUCUUCAUUGGUGUUUGGUCUUUUUUGGGAGAUUGAACAAAUUUCUCCCAAAUUAUCACAAAUGGGGAAGUUUGUCUAAACCAUUAUGUAAAAAGAUUGGAAUGAUUGUCAUAUUAAAGUCAGGCGUAGUUGCAUGAACAAGUGAGUAUUGUAUAGCAAAGCGAUUCUUGCCGGUUCAAAUAUCAGAAUGUGUGUUGGCAACAUAAUAGGGCCAAUAAAAUAAAUGGGACUAUAUUUCUUACAAAUUUACUCUUACAACAAGGUGAGCAGUAUACUACAGAGGCUUGCAGCACGUGGCUCUUUUUUAUGCAAGUUUUCUCGGAACAUUUGAAGGUAACCUGCAUCUUUCUUACCUUUAUUUGGACUAUUAAUAUGUUCCUUGUCUGAUCCCACCAAAAGAUAUCUCACGCAGCUCUUUAUAAUUUAAUUUAAAGCAGGAUGACUUUCAGCAGUUCCUUUUCAAUCUUCAUGCAUUUAUCAAGAAAGCUAUACUUUGUUAUUUGCAAUGAUAAAAUAGCUACAGCAAAGAUAUACUGAUUUUGUGUUUGAAUCAAUGUGUUCUGUUAUGAUGAAUGCCUCUUUUAUCUGCAAAACUGAUGUGCUCCUUCAGUGGCGGAGCUAAGACCAAAAAACUGGGCGGGCCUACCCAAAUGAGAGUACAAAAAUCAUGUGUAGAUGACAUAUUACAAGCAUAUAAAUAUACGUCUAUAAUACUAACAUGCAUUUUUAACACGCACCUGGCAUCAUCUAAUCUGAGUGUUGUUUACGUGUGCUUCAUGCUCAGAAUACAUCCAUCAGCUAGCUUAAGCUUGCCAGGCUUGCUACCUACGUGUGUUGUUUACGUGCGGGCCACGGCAUGCCUUUGCCCCAACGAAGCUCCGCCACUGCGCUCCUUUAUAGGUCUCUUGUUGCAAAACCUGUGGACGGCAUAUUCAUUUCAAGAGACUUGCACUCAAAAGAGAUUAGUUGACAUCAAGUGAUACAAACAAGUGAUUCCCUAGAGAUUCUUGUGUAUAAGCAAUCAGCUAAAUGAGAUUAUUUGACAUCUUGGUUGGUUCCUGAGGUGUACUAUAGUGGUGACCUAUAUCAAUGCUUUGAUCACAUUAAAUUGCAUACAGUAUUUCUCUUCUGCUCGAAAUAGAUGAUGUGGCAAAAGGGUUAUGGACCUGGAACAUUCCAAAGCCUAAAGAAUUCCUUCGAGCUUAAGGGUUGCAUAAGCAAACGAGCGAGAAGUAAGGUGGAGAGUAAAGCUAUAGAAAGUAGGGCGGACAACAAGACUAGACUCACCAUCGUCUGAUUUAGGCGCUGCAGACACAGGUAAUGAAGGGUGACACAGGGAGGGGCAGAGAGGCACUUGCGAUGGAGGUACGUGUCCAGAUUCUCCCUCGUCUCCAUAGACAUGGAAGAGAUUGCUGAGGUGUGCUCUUGCGGGGCCAUGCUAUCAUGGGGUUUGCGCUUGGACAUGCAAGAUGUGAUUUCUACUGUUAGAUAUAUAUGGCCAUGGCUUGUGGUGUACUGUGUGAGGAGCCCAUGGAGUGACGUCGUUCAAGGAGUAACCAUGAUUACCAUUCCGUACCAAGAAUGUGGUAUAUUUAAAUUUGUAUGUCGCAAGUCACCGUAGCAAUGUGCAUACCAUAAUGAAAUGAAAUAAGUUUAUGGUUACUGUCAUUUUAGUUAACCAGGUCUUUGUUUUAGUUUCUUUUUCUCCGGUAUACAUGACAUUUAUUAUUCUUUAUGUUCCUUUGCAGUCCCAAAACUGUUACCUUCGCUGGAGCCAAAAAAACA